AAUAUGAAAAAAUUACACAACGAUUUCAUUCAACUUCAAUUCAAAUUCCUCAACCUACCUAAUAAUACGAAAUAAUCAUAAUUCAACCCCUUGUGGUGCCUCGAUACUAAAUCUUUGUAUCACGUGAUCGGCAACGACAGGGGUCGGUUCAGAACAUCGCAAAAUGGUCGACAACAAAGCAUCUCGUCGAAGUGUGUCAUUGAGCGACAGAAAAUGACUUAAAGAAGGACGGAUAAUAUAUAAUAACGAUGCACAAAGGACGAACGGGGUGUUAUUUUAACGAUUCACAUCAAUUCAUGGAUUUUCUUGAAUGCUGUCGACCGACAGAAUCCAAAAUGGCCUCCGUGUUAUGCGGCGCAUGCGUGUAGAAUAAUAUGCAAAUACUCAAUCUAACCAAUGAAAAUGCAUGCAGUCACUCCUUAAUAAAUGCCUUUCCAUAGGCCUACUGAAUCUAUAUACGGAUAAAUAAUUUCUAGAUAUAUGCAGUCGUAAAUUCAAGUCAAAUAGAGAAUGGCAUCUAUUCACACUGCAUUAUAGUUUUAUUGGUACUAAAUGUGGUGAAGCUAGUAUCUCCGAGUGAGAGGAGUUACCCCCCCCCCCCUUCCUGUCCCACCCAUAUAAUCUCCCUUUAAUGAAAUAUUGGAUAUAAAUUCUAGGGAUUUUUCGAAGUCCUGCUAAAUAUCGGGACUUGAAACAUGUCACACACGCAUAUAUGUAUGGUAACCCCCCAACAUGAGACGCUACGUAUAGAUCAUAAAUAUAUAUAUAUAUAUAUAAGAUAAUAUACACAGAACAGCCAGAAAGAAAUACAGGUGAUAUCUGCACGAACUUGUUAUUAAAAGACAUGUGGUAAGUAGAAGAAUUGGCUACACAUGUGCAACUGCACACACGUAUUGCUAGUGUAUACCUCAUGCCUGUGAAGGGAUCAUAUCAAACUGUUUGUUUACAUUUAAUAGUAACGUUUGAGCGUUUCCCUAUAUAUGACGAAUAAGAAAGUACCGUGUGCAAAACUGUAACAUUUGUUUUUCUCUCGGGGGCCACUGAAGGGGCAUUAGAUUAAUAUAACUGAUAGUCAGAACUCUCGCUUAGAGAUCUUCUUCAUGAACAGAACACCUAUUUGAUGAUAAAGAAUUCUUUCAAACGGAAUAUGCACCCGGCUACAUAUUCGAGAAAAUAUCUAUCGCCGUUCAUCAUUUCCGCUUCUAGCCUUGUUUUAGGAAGACGAGUCGGCAAGGAGACAUAUUGACGUAAAAUAGCUUUAUCUCACUUCCUGUGUGAAAUAAAGAUGAAUUAAAACAAAUGUAUUAAACGUAGUCCAAAUUUCAGUCGGCGAUUUCGGGGGGUGGUUUUGAUAUUUUGCCACACGAUAUUUUUUCUAAAUUAGGCUAUUGGGGCGUACAUGUAACAAGAUUCACAUCCACCGAACUCGAUCGUGACUAUAUGUACGUAUGGGGAUGUUUGAAAUUUCCCCACAUAAUAUUUUUCCAUAUUUUAAUGCAAUAAUCUAGCAAGAGUAACAAACAACAAACGCGUGACUGCAACCUUGUGUGAUGUACAGUGCGUGUGUAUCGGGGAGGAGGUAUGCACAAGCGUGGUGCAACUAGAUUGUGGAUGGGUCAAAGGGUCAGACACUGCAUAUAUGUUUGCGGUGUGUACCCUUUACCGACGCUAACCCAUCCAGAAAUCAUUGAAUUUAACAAGAGACCAACAAGCCUUAUCGGUAACCUGAGCAUUAGUUAAAAGUUUCUAUACCCCAAACGGCAAAAUAUAUUAUAAAAUCGAUACUAAUUUUCGUGGUUGCAUAUCUAAGCUAAGUUCUAUCUAUAUUAUUUAGCUUUUGUAGAUGGGUGAUCGUUUAGGCCUAUGAAGCUCUUGUUUUUGUUUCAUUGCCACUUUAGUUACUACUGUGAAUUAUUGCAACUACAUGAAUAAAGCCUUCUAUAGAUAGCACAUGAUGCUAGAUCUGAUAUUGAGCACAUAACUUUCAGUUUGCAGGAAACCCAUUUUGAAAAUGUAUGCAUGUUCUUGAUUGAAAAGUUUUUGUACUGGUGGCAUUUCAUUUUUUUCUUUAAAAAUUAUUUAUGAAUAAUUAUGUCCCCCCUUCCCAGAAGGGAGACAUACUGUUUUAGUGUGAAUUCUUCCUCUUUCCAUACAAAGUUUGUUUGGGCCAUAACAUUUUGUCUUUUAACAUAGGCCUUUGAUAUUUGGUAUCUUGGCAAGUUUUUGGUUGUUUUUUUUUAGUUUUUUUUUAUGAACAGGGAUACAAUGAUAUCUUAUUUCAAAAGUACAGGUAUACAUAUAAUAAAUGCAUAUCUAAGUGUAUUCACAAUCAGUAUACAUAUUGAUAAUUUGUUCAAUAUUUCAUUGUAGCUCUAUUUUUUAAAAGAGAAAGAAAGAGCAGAUAUAAAGAAAUAGAUAGAUUUAUAGGGUGUAAGAUUGGAAAGAAAGAAAGUGAUUACAGUGCACCUUCAAGGGAUCAAUAUUAAGACAUUAUUGAAAUUAUAACUUAUAGAAUAACGGAUCAUAUUUGCCAGGAAGUAUUGAAAUCAUUACCUUUAGAUGAUCAUUAGCAUUGUACAUGUGUUUCAAAGAUUUGAAAUAGGGGUUGAAUUGAUUUAAUAAACCGAGAGUAUAGAUGGACAACUAUUUUGACAACAACUUUUUAUAUAUGUAUUGCUUCAUUAACAUUAAUUAAUGUAGUAUUAAUAAAAUUUGAAAUUAUUGGGGUUUUCUUCACCAAGAAAGAAAGAUCUAUAUCUAAAUUCAAAUUAAUAUCUUUUGACUGGCUUAGAGAAAUAAAGUUAUCCAAAAAUUGUUGAACAAUAGAACAUUUCCAAAUUAAAUGAAAGAUUGUUGCCUCCUCUUCUUCACAAAAAGUGCAUAAAUUUGUAUCGGCUUUACCUAUUUUAUAUAUGAAGCUAUUGGUAGUUAAGAUAUAAAGUCUGUGUCAAAACCAUUGUAAUCUGCAAUCGUUUGUCACCAGUAAUGUACGAUAGUAAAUCUCUUUCCAUCGUACAUCAGUUAUUUCAAAAUAUUUAGCCCACUUUUUCUUACCCUUAGGAUUUACUACUGGUUUAUUUAAGAUUUGAUCCUUUCUAGUAAAAACAGACUUUGAUAUUACAAGGAAUCACUGGUCUUUGUAUAAACCCAUUCCUGUUAAAGUUAAAAUUUCUUAAAUCAGAUAUAAUUGUUUGUUUUACACCAUUAUAUGCUACAUACAUUGUUUUGAUAUGAUUCUGGAUGAAAAUAGCAAUUUUUUUGUCACUAGUAUCAUGACAAGUUUAAUUUUAAUGUUCACAACACUGUUCCUUGGUUGAAGCACAUAUACAUAUAGGUGACUUUUAUUUACCGUAACUGAUCCCUAAAGAUGUUUUUAAAACUAUGAAAAAUGGAAGGGGUGACAUCAGUGUGCUAAAACAAUUCUUUCUAAUUUAUACUUGUAAAUUGUAAUUUUCAUAAAAAGCUGACACUUUGUAAUUUAAUUUUACACCUUUGUAGCAAGACUGUUCAUAUACUAUAUAUAUAUAUAUAUAUAUAUAUAUAUAUAUAUAUAUAUAUAUAUAUAUAUAUAUUGUUUGUUUGUGCUUUAUAUUAAAUAUUCUAUACAAUUGCAUCGAGAGAUCCACUCUCCUUAUAAAAUAUCUUAAACACUGAAUGACACAGCGACUGUGUGGGAUUGCAUCAGUGUGUAUAAGUAGCGCUUUAGGAGCAUAACAAAGCUUCCUUUCCAGGGAAGUCGUUGUGGCCGAGUGGACUUGCGCACUGGUUUGACAAUCUUGCUAGGGGGUGGGUGCCGUACGUCGCUGGUUCGACCCCGGGCUGGGGCGAAAAUUUUCAGUACCUAGUUGUGAUUAUUUAGUGCUUUAUAUAUAUAUAUAUAUAUAUAUUGUUUAGUGCUGUUAAUAAAUAAUAAUCCAUUUUGGAUCAGUAAAGUCGGUACAUGUAAAUGGCUUCCUAUGUCUCCUGUGAGAGAUGUUUUGUGUUUGUUUAAAAUGCAUAUAAAUCUGUAUAUAUACAAGUUUAUUAUAGAGAUUAAAAGAAACAUACUGUUGA